UGAGGAAUAUUGGUCAAUGGACGAGAGUCUGAACCAGCCAAGUAGCGUGAAGGAUGACUGCCCUAUGGGUUGUAAACUUCUUUUAUAAGGGAAUAAAGUGAGGGACGUGUCCCUUUUUGUAUGUACCUUAUGAAUAAGGAUCGGCUAACUCCGUGCCAGCAGCCGCGGUAAUACGGAGGAUCCAAGCGUUAUCCGGAUUUAUUGGGUUUAAAGGGAGCGUAGGUUGACAUAUAAGUCAGCUGUGAAAGUUUACGGCUCAACCGUGAAAUUGCAGUUGAUACUGUAUGUCUUGAGUGUACAAGAGGUGGGCGGAAUUCGUGGUGUAGCGGUGAAAUGCUUAGAUAUUGCUCAGAACACCGAUUGCGAAGGCAGCUUACCAAGCUAUUAUUGACGCUGAGGCACGAAAGCGUGGGGAUCGAACAGG
rnacentral:rRNA from 1 species